AAGUGCCUCGCAAGAGGAGCUUGGAGACAGGUGGCUGCAUGGCUGUCGUCAGCUCGUGUCGUGAGAUGUUGGGUUAAGUCCCGCAACGAGCGCAACCCUUGUCUUUAGUUGCCAUCAUUUAGUUGGGCACUCUAAAGAAGACUGCCGGUGUCAAAACCGGAGGAAGGUGGGGAUGACGUCAAGUCCUCAUGGCCUUUAUGACCAGGGCUACACACGUACUACAAUGGCCGGUACAAAGGGCAGCCACUUAGCGAUAAGGAGCCAAUCCCGUAAAGCCGGUCUCAGUCCGGAUUGGAGUCUGCAACUCGACUCCAUGAAGUUGGAAUCGCUAGUAAUCGCAGAUCAGCACGCUGCGGUGAAUACGUUCCCGGGCCUU
rnacentral:rRNA from 1 species